rnacentral:lncRNA from 1 species
AUAUAUAUAUAUAUAUAUAAAAUUGAGCUCCUAUACUUUUAAAAGUACCAAGUUAUUGGUGCUUGUAGAUUUUUAGCAAUUUGAUUAAGAGAUAUACGGUUAGGAUGAUGUGGGCCCUCUAAGAUUGAGUGGAUGGCUGGUUGAAUAGUAUAAUCUAAUGGUUGAAAAUGAUUCGAGGAGUAGAUCUAACGGUAAAAAACUUACAAGCACCAAGUGCAUGGUGCUUUUACAAGCACCAUAGCUGGACUAUAUCUAUAUAGUCCGGCUGCUAUACUAUCGGUAACACGGAGGCUUCCGUACUACCAAGUUGUUUUCGAUGAUGCGGCUUCCAAAUCGACGAUCGGCUCCGUUAGACUUGAUCUACACUAUUGAAAGUAUUUGGAAACUAAAUUUUAGAAUUUUUCGACAUAAUUUGGCUAGUGAUAAAAAGGUCUCAAAAUUGAUAAUUUUAAUGAUAGAUGUGAUGCAUUUGAAAAUUUAACAGUGUAAAACAAUUCAAAUCAGAUAAAAUUUUUAUAGAAAUUUUUUUUUUACUAUUUAGAGUAAGAUCAAUAUCUCUGAUCUUAAAUUCAAGUCUUCUAUCAUCAUUUUUAUGAGAUUUUUAUUUUCAGCCGUUUAUUUUUAGACUGCUCGUUUGAUAGGUAAAUGAUACCAAAAAAUUAUAAAAUUUAGUUUCCAAAUACUUUCAAUAGUAUAGAUCAAGUCUAACGGAGCCGAUCGUCAAUUUGAAAGCGGCAUCAUUGAAAACAACUUGGUAGCACGGAGGCGUCCGUGCUACCGAUAGUAUAGCAGCCUAGCUCUCUCUCUCUCUCUCUCUCUCUCUCUCUCUCUCUAUAUAUAUAUAUACACACGUGGAUACGUGUUGAUCACCUAAAUUAUUUCUAAUAUAUAUGACGCAUACCCAUCUAUUUUAUCUGUAAUUUUUUGGAUAAAAAAAUAGUGCCCAUUUCCGUAAAUCUACAGAUUAUUUAUCAGAU